GAAAUGCGAUACGUAAUGUGAAUUGCAGAACUCAGUGAAUCAUCAAAUCUUUGAACGCAAAUUGCACUAAUAGUAAUAUUAGUACAUUUAUUUGAGUGUCGUUUAAUAAUCUAAUCAUUAUUAUUACAAUGAAUGUCUAUUUAUAGUCAUUUUAACAUCAUAUAAUCCAAUUAUUGUAAAAUGUUUUUACUAUCUUUGGAAAUUAUUAUAUCAUAUUCGACCUCAAAUUAAAUGAGAUUACCCGCUGAAUUUAA
rnacentral:misc_RNA from 1 species